rnacentral:rRNA from 1 species
AACUUUCAACAACGGAUCUCUUGGUUCCCGCAUCGAUGAAGAACGCAGCGAAACGCGAUAGUUAAUGUGAAUUGCAGAAUUCAGUGAAUCAUCGAGUCUUUGAACGCACAUUGCGCCUUUUGGUAUUCCGAGAGGCACGCCUGUCUGAGCGUCAG